GCUGCUUGAAAAUGUGUUUUCUACUUUGUUUCAGCAGUUCAGUGUGGUUGGUUUAUCUUUGUAACCGUCGUAAUGUAGAACCAGUGCAUGUUGGGAAACAGGAAGUAAAAUCACCAUGCGGUAGUUAGCUACAGGAAUGUGUGAGCUCUACCCGUCGUCAGUUUCUGAGUCGAUCGCUUUUCCUUCUCCCUUUUUGCUAAGGCAACGUCUCUGGAGCCGGAGAGAGAUUGGAGAUCACCAGGCGGUUGGAGGCGCAGAGAUUUCUGUGGCAGCUUGGUUAGAGGUGGCGAGAGAGGCAACAGAAAAAAGAAAACGACAUCAACUGAAACACGUAGACCCAGGCAUGCGUCCCCGCUCCAGACCUCAGGCUAAAAGGGGCCUGCCCACCAUCAGGGAGGGCUACGAAGAACUUGUCCAGGACAUGAACCAGGCCAACAGCCGCCACCUCCCACACCACGGCCAGGCCCAAUCGUUGUCUACCCACGACUACGUCCUGUCAAUAUGCCAGCUCGCCCGCCCGACCUUCCCCCAGUCCGAGCCCGACUGUGACAUCCUCGCCAUGGGUUCCCUGGCAUCUCUGAGGCCUUGUCUGAGGCUCCACAGACUGAGGAACCCUGCACCGCCCCAUCAGCCAUUGAAUUCCCAGGUUGGCCACCGCCCACAGCUGAAGCAGGAGAAUAGCCGCGGUGAGUGCAGUGGCCUGGAGAGAGAGGUGUGUGUCGGUUCAGGUCGGUCCUCCCCCAGAGGGGUGCCCAGUGUCUCUGAUCCCCUGGAGUACCUUUACGGUCACGGGGAGGCACUCUUCUCGACCACCCUUCACUCCCACAGCUCACAGGGCUGGAGAAAUGAGGGGAGAGGAAGCAACCGGCAUCGGCAACAACCCCAGAUACACACCGACAGCUUCCCAGGCAUGUGUUCCUUACCCCCGACCCAACGGAAAAUCAGUUGCCCUGAGCUCAGCCUCGUGGACCCCGCUGACCUAGAGAAGCCCACCUCUGACCCCGCUCAGCCGCAGACAGUCUCCUCAGAGCAGCAGAAACCUGACGCCUCCAGCUCACUCUCCUGGAGAUUCCAGAACAACUUGUACAGGGUUUCGGCAGGUGAAAGGGGGAAGUGCCCUUGCUACUUAGACAAACACACAGUGGUAUCAAGCUGGAUCGCCGAAUGUCGCACAGCCUGGAGAGAAGCCAGAAUCAGGGCCUGCAUGCUUCCUGCCAUUGCAGAGAUGUAAACACAUAGAUCUUCUGUAACAUUUCCAUGCCCCACUCGGAAUCAUUGUGCAUUGUGGAUCCUUGAUGUACGUACUACAUACUGUUUAAUUAACUGGCACAUUUGGCCAAUUGCAGGCCCAUAUGGUAACAUGUACAACUCCAGUUUUCAUUUGUGAACUUUUUGAAGAGUAUAUAGAUUAAGACCAUAGAGAUGAUCAGAGGACUUAGAGGAGCGACAGGUGGCCUAGACUUUAAAGUAUCUUACCAGUAACCAAAUUGUUGCUAGAUCCCUGAGCCUGAAAAAUGAAAUAUUGUAAUUCUGUCCCUGACAGAAGACAAGACAAUUGACACUAAUUGCUUCCUGAUUUUUUUUGCACUAAUUUUCAUUGAAGACAUCCACAAAUUUCAACUUUAUUGGCUGAUUCAUCCCGAUGACCCGAUUGGUCAUUGGCUGAUCCUUCCUAAUGACUAUAUUAACAUGACGAUGGCCUCAAUGGCUCUGCCCAUGCUGGAACAGAUGCUUUGGUGACACACAUGGGUCCUCUGUUUAUCUCGACCCUUAAGACAUAUUGUAGACUAGCGUAUGCUUCAUUCAUAUCACAGUAGGUGGAAUAUUGACAGUGCCUAUGAAAGAUAGUAUUUAGGUAGCCUCCGUGUCAUUAAACAUACGGUCAUUAGGCAAGACUGUUUUGUGAGAAUGGUCACAUAUGACCAGUAUUAAUAUAAAGUUUACAGGAAGAGGAAAGACUAAGAAAAAUAUCAGAUUAUAUUUCCUAGGGAAUUAGCGAUUACUUAAAUCUUUCUAUUUCACUCCAUUAUUGACUAAUAAUAAUUAUUAAAUACUUUUUUUGUGACAUAUGGGCAGCUAAAACAACAAAUAAAAUUCUACAGAGUUGAGAAAAAUGUGUCCUAUUGUUAGCUAGUUAGGGCUCAGCCCUCCAACUCAGAUUACUCUCAGUGGUUUUGAAAAUCUAUUUUGUGAUUUCCUCUCUUGUGUAUAAACUUGAUUAUGCAAUGAAAAUAUCUAUUUUAAUCUUCUUCACUUAUUAAAGCCAUGAUAAAAUAGAUACAGGUAAUGUAUAUUAAAUCAUGUCAAUGAAUUCCCACUGAGUGAGAUGUUAUGUAAAAAUGUUGUAUGUGACAUUUCAAUUGCAAGAUCAGAUGGUCCUCCAUGACAGUACAAUGAAGUAUGUGUCAAAAUAUAUCAACAUUGAGACAAUUGUAUCAUUGACUUGUAAAUGUUUGAGAACACAUUAAUUUGUAUAGCUUUUGUACCUCUGUCCAUUGCUUGCUCGUAACUGAAUAAAGUUUGUGUUUGACCCAUCCCACAAUUAUCAUUCAAUAUCCUCAAAGAUAAGCAACAUAAACCAGUUAUCCUACAACAUUCUCUGAUGGAGAGAUGAAACUGAAGACAUUUCUCCAGAAAAAAUAAGGCUGGCAAACCCCAGCAUCUUCAGGGAGAUUUGAAACACUAUAAAUUAG
ensembl:lncRNA